GCCGCUCGCCAGGGGUCUCCGGACGGCCGUCACGCCGAAUGGAGUGAGAGAUACCCUUCGAACCUGAUGCGGUUGAGACCGCCGUAGGGAGGCUGACAGGCCUCCCG
rfam:Thiobacillus sp. SCN 63-57 ABT23_C0004, whole genome shotgun sequence.